rnacentral:rRNA from 1 species
CGGACGGGUGAGUAAUGUCUGGGAAACUGCCUGAUGGAGGGGGGUAACUACUGGAAACGGUAGCUAAUACCGCAUAACGUCGCAAGACCAAAGAGGGGGACCUUCGGGCCUCUUGCCAUCGGAUGUGCCCAGAUGGGAUUAGCUAGUAGGUGGGGUAACGGCUCACCUAGGCGACGAUCCCUAGCUGGUCUGAGAGGAUGACCAGCCACACUGGAACUGAGACACGGUCCAA